CAACCCAGGGUCGAUGUGAAAAUCAAACCAGACUCGAUGCUGCCCUGCAAAACCGGAACGCUGGAGUGAAGCCGCACGGCCAGAUGCGUCAACUAGACUGACGAGCAGAGAUAAAAGCAAAGGCUGACAUCUAAAGUCAAAGUUUUUGACUUAGUCAUCAUUGCCUUGGCCUUGUGCAUCCUCCUCAUCACGGCUGUCUACUGCAUCAGUGUGUGCUACAACCGCAGCAGGUGAUGCACACACAUACAUCACAGUGCAUGUGGGCCACCGUUAGCUUUCUGCAAUGCCAUAAUAAUCAUAUAUGCAAGGAGUGUCAUUCAGAAAAGCGCAGACCUCCGCUAAGGCCGAACUGUUGACAACAGUGAAUGAAAAAUGAUAGAACACAGUUGUAUCUGUUUGUUAG